rnacentral:snoRNA from 14 species
CCCAGCUGUAGGCAGCUACCUAGGUUUCCUUGUACCUAGGCAAGUGUUACACGGCUGGGAGAAAAGCAGCCAAUAGCUGGUUGGCAUUCUGGGCCUGGUUCAUGCCAACUCU